CUGAACCAUGGAACCACCAAGGAUGACUCCUUCAUCAAGGAUGCAGCCAGGGUGUGUCGGGGUUUUGUGGAGAGAGCAGAGGGAGAGGUCCGCUUCUCUGCUGUGGCCCUCUGUCAUACCUAGAGACCCUGGAGAGGGACACACACAACACACACACACACACAGGUGAACCAUGGUGUAUACACACCUGGUAUGUACUGGAAACAGUUUGCACUCUCCCCACACACACACACCGCAGCACACAUGCGUAGAUGUUAGUUUGCACAAGCCUGGUGUCACGUUGAUGUCACUACUGCUGUACUUUCUGUCUGCUGUACUGUUAUUUAUUUUUCCAAGUCAGAUCACCACUGAGAAAGUAGUGCACUUACAUGGGGAGUAGGGAGCCGUUUGCUCUGCAGCCUGUGAGGUGUUCCUGUUUUUCUGCUGUCUGACUCCUCAGCUCUGUUUCUAACAGCUGUUACGUCAGACUACGAUGUUAGGAUGACGUUGUUACUGUGUUAGGAUGACGUUGUUACUGUGUUAGGAUGACGUUAGGAUGACGUUGUUACUGUGUUAGGAUGACACUGCAACAAUGUUGGCUGUGCUUUGCCUUUCUGCAUCUUCCUGUGCUGCUGACUGCCAAUAAACAACCAAACUACA